CGGCGUUCCUUAUUCUUGCUAGUCGAGCGAACAGAUGAGAAGCUUGCUUCUCUGAUGUUAGCGGCGGACGGGUGAGUAACACGUGGGUAACCUACCUAUAAGACUGGGAUAACUCCGGGAAACCGGGGCUAAUACCGGAUAAUAUUUUGAACCGCAUGGUUCAAUAGUGAAAGACGGUUUCGGCUGUCACUUAUAGAUGGACCCGCGCCGUAUUAGCUAGUUGGUAAGGUAAUGGCUUACCAAGGCGACGAUACGUAGCCGACCUGAGAGGGUGAUCGGCCACACUGGAACUGAGACACGGUCCAGACUCCUACGGGAGGCAGCAGUAGGGAAUCUUCCGCAAUGGGCGAAAGCCUGACGGAGCAACGCCGCGUGAGUGAUGAAGGUCUUCGGAUCGUAAAACUCUGUUGUUAGGGAAGAACAAAUUUGUUAGUAACUGAACAAGUCUUGACGGUACCUAACCAGAAAGCCACGGCUAACUACGUGCCAGCAGCCGCGGUAAUACGUAGGUGGCAAGCGUUAUCCGGAAUUAUUGGGCGUAAAGCGCGCGUAGGCGGUUUCUUAAGUCUGAUGUGAAAGCCCACGGCUCAACCGUGGAGGGUCAUUGGAAACUGGGAAACUUGAGUGCAGAAGAGGAGAGUGGAAUUCCAUGUGUAGCGGUGAAAUGCGCAAAGAUAUGGAGGAACACCAGUGGCGAAGGCGGCUCUCUGGUCUGUAACUGACGCUGAUGUGCGAAAGCGUGGGGAUCAAACAGGAUUAUAUACCCUGGUAGUCCACGCCG
rnacentral:rRNA from 1 species